rnacentral:tRNA from 1 species
GGGGAUACAGCUCAGUUGGUAGAGUGCUUGCCUUGCAUGCACAAGGCCUGGGUUCAACCCCCAGCACCACCA